AUUGAACGCUGGCGGCAGGCCUAACACAUGCAAGUCGAGCGAGCGGCGGACGGGUGAGUAAUGUCUGGGUAACUGCCUGAUGGAGGGGGAUAACUACUGGAAACGGUAGCUAAUACCGCAUACCAUCAGAUGUGCCCAGGUGGGCUUCGCUAGUAGGUGGGGUAAUGGCUAACCUAGGCGACGAUGCCUAGCUGGUCUGAGAGGAUGAACAGCCACACUGGAACGGAGACACGGUCCAGACGCCUACGGGAGGCAGCAGUGGGGAAUAUUGCACAAUGGGCGAAAGCCUGAUGCAGCCAUGCCGCGUGGAUGAAGAAGGCCUUCGGGUUGUAAAGUACUGUUAGCGAGGAGGCGGUACUCGCAGAAGAAGCACCGGCGAACUCCGUGCCAGCCGCCGCGGUAAUAC
rnacentral:rRNA from 1 species